UGAGGAAUAUUGGUCAAUGGGCGCGAGCCUGAACCAGCCAAGUCGCGUGAGGGAAGACGGUCCUAUGGAUUGUAAACCUCUUUUGCCGGGGAGCAACAAGGCCUUGCGAGGUCUAAAGUGAGAGUACCCGGAGAAAAAUGCAUCGGCUAACUCCGUGCCAGCAGCCGCGGUAAUACGGAGGAUGCGAGCGUUAUCCGGAUUUAUUGGGUUUAAAGGGUGCGUAGGCGGACAGGCAAGUCAGCGGUAAAAGUAUGGAGGCUCAACCUCUAUCGGCCAGUUGAAACUGUCUGACUAGAGUGAGCGAGAAGUAUGCGGAAUGCGAGGUGUAGCGGUGAAAUGCAUAGAUAUCACGCAGAACUCCGAUUGCGAAGGCAGCAUACCGGCGCUCAACUGACGCUGAGGCACGAAAGCGUGGGGGAUCGAACAGGAUUAGAUACC
rnacentral:rRNA from 1 species